UACCAUACAUUUGAUGCUGGAGGGGGGCUGCUCAUCUUCUAAUGAACCCCCGACGGACGUGCACGGACAGAUCGGACUGGCGGGUUGCCUGCUGGAGAUAAAUGUCUAGGGCGGACUUGUAUUUCGUAAGGAAGCAAAAACGCUUCCUUACAAGAUAUAGGUUAAAACAUUCUGUUUUGUUCGUCUUAUGAUAAAGAAGCAUAAAACCAGUUUACGCAGUUUACGCUCCACUGCGACUUUCCGCUCCGACCAAUUUGGCCCAUUUUCAAAUCUAACCUGGUUGCGAAAACUUCCAAAGCUCCUACCAAAUUUGAAGUCACUAUUUUCAUUUUUGCGACCUACAAACACCACACAGACACACAGAUGAAAAGACAUGGUUUAAGCAAUUUAAAAUUUCACGCUGAUUAACCAUACAUAUACUUUCUAGGGUUUCUAAAGCUGAAAUACGCCCCCAUCCUUCGGUGGAAAACCCGCCAAAUGACACAUAAUUUUUGUGAGAAAUUAUUGUCGCACAAAUGCAAACAGGAAGCCGAAAUUGGCAUUAGACAUUGACGGGUUCUGUAAAUUUAGAGUUAACUUCACGAACAUAGUUAUCGAUUUAAUUAGACCAAAUGAUUCUCUGUAUCUAUGUGUGUCCAAGAGACACCAAGAGAAAUAAACGUGCAUGGUAAAUUAAUGAAUAAACAGCAAGCCAAGCAAACACGUAACGUGAUACACUGGGACCACGAGGCUUACGGACUCGAUGAUCGAGGAUUUGACGCUAAUGUUAAAGAAUGCUUGGAGGCUUUACCACAACAUUCAUUGGAACAUAAGCAUGGUUGGCUGUUAGUUCUUAGCCAUGCCUUGAGUAAAAAAAUUGGACAUCUCAUCAUACAACGUUAAACAAAGAAUUUCGCUGAAUGGCAAAAUUUUGUAGACGCUGUGAAAGUUAUGGAAUCAGUGGCUUUUAGUCUGACACCAGAUCAGAUCAAAAAGUGGAGCUAUUUGGAAUUUUCCGGUGAAUUAAAAAGUUCAAGUUAUGCGAUAUGAUUUUUCAAGGAUAAUUUUUUUUUAAUAACGUCAGCCAUGCAUGUCUCUGAAUUGAGAAAUUUAUGUGACUUUUAAAGUUCACCGCAAAGGUACAGAAUUAUUUGGUGACGGUUUUGCCAUAUGGUACGCCAAGGAACAUAUGCAACCAGGGUCAGUUUUCGGCGACUUUCCUUAUGUCUGCGAUUUAUGUGGGCGAAAAUAUGCUCAAAUGUGCCUUUUGAAUACGCACAAAAAAAUUAAACAUGAUAGCGUGGGAUUUAGCUGCGACUACCCUGAUUGUGGAAAAUAUUUCACGUCGUCUAACUCUUUACGAAAUCAUGAGUACACGCAUCACAAUAUGAUGCCCUUUGAAUGUGAAUUUUGUCAGCAAGCAUAACCGGCUAAAGCAAAACUAAAGGUGCAUAUUAAGCGAAAACAUGGUCAGGAUAUGAGCAAAGAGCAAUUAGAAAAUAUGCGUAAAUUUCAUGUUAUGCGCUCCAAAGUUAAUUUUAUAAAGGUGAUUCUUGUCACCGAUAUUUAAUAUUAACGAAAUUAUAAAUAAAAUAGAUGUCGGUGUAUUGGUUUUAAUUAAUUUCACGAACGAUUAUCUCGAUGAAUUAUGGGUACAAAUUAGAAAAAAAAACUACAAAGCAAUCUAGCUAGGAACUAAGACUCCGUACAAGAAUUUUUUCAAACGUUUUAUUUCCAUGCUUUACUCAAGCAUAAGUUUUUAUGCUCGGACACGAAAGGGGACUUUUCUGAUGCCAAUUCAAAUAUCAACCAAUGACUUCGCAUAGAAAACAUUUUUUUUAUAAUAAAAACUCGGUUUCGAUCC